UACGAAGGGGGCUAGCGUUGUUCGGAUUUACUGGGCGUAAAGCGCACGUAGGCGGAUUGUUAAGUCAGGGGUGAAAUCCCGGAGCUCAACUCCGGAACUGCCUUUGAUACUGGCAAUCUUGAGGCUGGAAGAGGUUAGUGGAAUUCCCAGUGUAGAGGUGAAAAUUCGUAGAUAUUGGGAAGAACACCAGUGGCGAAGGCGGCUAACUGGUCCAGAUCUGACGCUGAGGUGCGAAAGCGUGGGGAGCAAACAGG
rnacentral:rRNA from 1 species